rnacentral:rRNA from 1 species
AGGACGAACGCUGGCGGCGUGCUUAACACAUGCAAGUCGAGCGAGGCUUCUCCUUCGGGAGAUGUCCUAGCGGCGAACGGGUGAGUAACACGUGGGCAACCUGCCUCUAGCUCUGGGAUAACUCCGGGAAACCGGGGCUAAUACCGGAUACGACCUCGAGCGGCAUCUAUCGAGGUGGAAAGUUUUUCGGCUAGAGAUGGGCCCGCGGCCUAUCAGCUUGUUGGUGAGGUAACGGCCCACCAAGGCGACGACGGGUAGCCGGCCUGAGAGGGCGACCGGCCACACUGGGACUGAGACACGGCCCAGACUCCUACGGGAGGCAGCAGUGGGGAAUAUUGCGCAAUGGGCGAAAGCCUGACGCAGCGACGCCGCGUGAGGAUGAAGGCCUUCGGGUUCGUAAACCUUCUUUCAGCGAGGACGAAGCG